rnacentral:rRNA from 1 species
GAUCAUGGCUCAGAACGUACGCUGGCGGCACGCCUAACACAUGCAAGUCGAACGCAGUAGCAAUACUGAGUGGCAGACGGGUGAGUAACAUGUGGGAAUCUGCCUUGUGGUUCAGGACAACAUUGGGAAACCGAUGCUAAUACUGGAUAAGCCCUUACGGGGAAAGUUUUAAUGCCAUAAGAUGAGCCCGCAUUUGAUUAGUUAGUUGGUGAGGUAAUGGCUCACCAAGACAAUGAUCAAUAGCUGAUCUGAGAGGAUGAUCAGCCACACUGGGACUGAGACACGGCCCAGACUCCUACGGGAGGCAGCAGUGGGGAAUCUUGCACAAUGGAGGAAACUCUGAUGCAGCGAUGCCGCGUGAGUGAAGAAGGCCUUUGGGUUGUAAAGCUCUUUUGUAGGGGAAGAUAAUGACUGUACCCUAAGAAUAAGGUCCGGCUAACUUCGUGCCAGCAGCCGCGGUAAUACGAAGGGACCUAGCGUAGUUCGGAAUUACUGGGCGUAAAGCGCGCGUAGGCCGUUGAGUUAGUUAAUUGUGAAAUCCCAAAGCUUAACUUUGGAACUGCAAUUAAAACUGCUCGACUAGAGUUUGAUAGAGGAAAGCGGAAUACAUAGUGUAGAGGUGAAAUUCGUAGAUAUUAUGUAGAACACCAGUUGCGAAGGCGGCUUUCUGGAUCAACACUGACGCUGAGGCGCGAAAGUAUGGGUAGCAAAGAGGAUUAGAUACCCUCGUAGUCCAUACCAUAAACGAUGAUUGCUAGAUGUUGGAAAUUUAUUUUUCAG